ensembl:rRNA 5S_rRNA 5S ribosomal RNA
GCUUACGGCCACACCGCUGGUUCACGCCCGAUCUCGUUUGAUCUCGGAAGCUAAGAUAGGUUGGGCCUGGUUAGUACUUGGAUGGGAGACCGCCUGGGAAUACCAGGUGCUGUAAGCU